rnacentral:lncRNA from 1 species
GAUCGAUCAGGGACAGAGGGUGAGGUGAAACCCUAGUUUCACCAAAAUCCAUCAAAUUGAAGGGGGAUUGAAGGGCUAAACUAAUGCAUGAACCAAGAUUUUCGAUCACUUUAGCGUUUCUACCAUCAUGUAAGUCGAAUUUUGGAACGUGUCAAGGAGAGGUCAAGCAUAGGAGGAUAACGGGUCAAGAUAAGGCAAGGUGACAAAUACACUUAUUGGAGUACUCGAGGUAUGGGAUCGUUGGCUUCAUGAAGAAAUGGAGCUGGAUUUGGAUAAGAGUAUUUAAGAAAGCGCUUGGACAAUUCCACGACUACUUUAUAGAAUGCUCUACGAAAUUCUAUUAUAUAGUUUAAUGUUGUAUGGUAUGUUAAUGACUAAUGGUUUGGUUGUACGUGGUGUCCACAGGUAUCGCUUGGGUUUUCUCUACAGUUAUUGAAGUGAAGCGGACUUAGUUCGAGUUGAGAGCAAGGAUUGUACGGGGUAGAAUGGUCACAUAGUGUAACUCAUAUAGGUUUUGAAGUAUUAAUGUUAUAAAACGUUAUAAAUCCGUU